AUUGAACGCUGGCGGCAGGCCUAACACAUGCAAGUCGAGCGAGCGGCGGACGGGUGAGUACUGUCUGGGAAACUGCCUGAUGGUGGGGGAUAACUACUGGAAACGGUAGCUACUACCUCAUACCAUCUGAUGUGCCCAGGUGGGAUUGGCUAGUAGGUGGGGUAACGGCUCACCUAGGCGACGAUCCCUAGCUGGUCUGAGAGGAUGACCAGGCACACUGGAACUGAGACACGGGCCAGACUCCUACGGGAGGCAGCAGUGGGGAAUAUUGCACAAUGGGCGCAAGCCUGAUGCAGCCAUGCCGCGUGUGUGAAGAAGGCCUUCGGGUUGUAAAGCACUUUCAGCGGGGAGGCGUUACCCGCAGAAGAAGCACCGGCAAACUCCGUGCCAGCAGCCGCGGUAAUAC
rnacentral:rRNA from 1 species